CAGCGUGCUGACCUCAGACAGGAGGGUCCCGCCCAGUGGGCCGUCCUUCUCUGGAGUUUUACCUGAGAGGAGGAAGAAAACAAGGAGGUGUCACUCUGCUGCUGUUUCUGGGAACUGAAAACACAAAUUCUAACUUAAGGUGGAGAAGGACGAGGAGUCCAGGGCGUCCCGGGGAAGGAGCUCAGUUUCUGGGGACGGAGGCCCAUUGGGGACAAAAACGUUGUCGUGGUAAUCGCCAGUGAGCGGGAGAGAGAGUCUGGCCAUCCAGGCCGGGUCGUUGACCUCCGAGAAGACGUCAUCUGUAGGAAGAGAGAGAACAGUUACACAUAGAGCCUUCGUUGGGGACUAUUUUCAGCAGCGGAUUAAUCCACAUUUUGAGCGUUGUUGAGCAGGUUGUUGAGCCCCUCCUCCAGCUGUGGGUCUAUGGGUGAGUCUCUUCCUGGUUCCCAGUCCACAUCUCCAGCCUCGCUUUCACCGUGUCCACUGUCUUUGGUGCUCUGCCAAUCAGAACA